UAGUCCCUAUAAAUAUACGUAUAAGGACCAGAUUUUUCUGUGGUCCCUAAUUUUUAUUUUUAUUUUUAGUUUGCGAUGACCAUAAAUAUUUUUGCUAAAAUAAUUAAGAAAUAUAUCUCCCCUAAUAAUCUAAGUUCAGCGGGAGAUAUAAGAGGCACUAACAUAAAAAAUUAAACCCCCGAUCUUUACCAAAGUGAAACCCUAUUUUCUAUCUUAAAGAUUGUAAAAUUCCCAACAAUCCACUCUUCUAAAAUUCUCACUCAAAUGCUGCAGACUCAAAUUGAUAACUAUCCAGAAUGGUUGAAGAUUCACAUUUCGAAUGACAAUAGUUGUCUUUCUGAACAGGUUAAAAGUUGGAGAAUUGGGGUUGACACAUGAACGGUGGCAAGGGUUAGAUUUUAAGACGGGGCUUUAAGUUUUGUUGUAGCACAUUCACUCAAGCUUCACGAAUUAUUUCUAUGGAGGAUGUGACCAAUAUCACCUCAUUCUAGUCGCUUACCACUUUUCACUUCCUUUAUUUAGAGGAUGUAUGAGGACUUGAGUUUACAAUUCACGAUCCGGGUUUCAAAGACAUCAUACAAGUUAACAAGUUGAUUAUCAUUUUGCUAGGAUUGUUAAAAAAAUUAAUUAUUUUUUAGGUAUGUUAACUUUUAUAGUAAGGGUUGUGUAAGCAAUACAAAGACUUGUAUCUUGUAUAUCAUGGCCAUAGUUUGCUUACAAAUAUAUUAUGAAUCUUUUUCUUUGUAAUGAAUUACCUAAUAUAUAUGUAAUGAGAUGUUAUUGAUGUUUAUAUAUGCAUUUGUUUUUCUAUA